GACGAACGCUGGCGGCGUGCCUAAUACAUGCAAGUAGAACGCACAGUUUAUACCGUAGCUUGCUACACCAUAGACUGUGAGUUGCGAACGGGUGAGUAACGCGUAGGUAACCUGCCUGGUAGCGGGGGAUAACUAUUGGAAACGAUAGCUAAUACCGCAUAAUAUUAAUUAUUGCAUGAUAAUUAAUUGAAAGGUGCAAUUGCACCACUACCAGAUGGACCUGCGUUGUAUUAGCUAGUAGGUGAGGUAACGGCUCACCUAGGCGACGAUACAUAGCCGACCUGAGAGGGGGAUCGGCCACACUGGGACUGAGACACGGCCCAGACUCCUACGGGAGGCAGCAGUAGGGAAUCUUCGGCAAUGGACGAAAGUCUGACCGAGCAACGCCGCGUGAGUGAAGAAGGUUUUCGGAUCGUAAAGCUCGGUUGUAAGAGAAGAACGGGUGUGAGAGUGGAAAGUUCACACUGUGACGGUAGCUGACCAGAAAGGGACGGCUAACUACGUG
rnacentral:rRNA from 1 species